CAAUUUGACGCACAGAUUCUCACAUCCAAAUACAAAAAUGGGGUAAUAAGUGGACGGUGCAAGGCCCUUCUUCCUUGUAAAAAGCAGAGGUAAAGUAUGGAUUAAAGAAAGAUUUAAGUGUGUUUACUUUCACUGUUGUUUCUUGGGUCCAAGAGGCUUAUAUACUGGGAAUGUUAGAUAGACCGAACCAAGGCAAAAUCCAAAGUCCUCGGGUUUCUUUCCGUCUGAACUAAUUGCUUUCCAGCACCAAACCAUGCCGAGAAAGAAGAGGAAGAAGAUGGUGCUAAGAAUCCCAAGUGUUGGAUAAUGUAACUACCCUCUUCUUCCUUCACUGGAUGCAAGGGGACACAAGGCAAGUCAUCGAGGCGAAGGGAAGGUCAUGCCUUUCUUCUGGGUUUUCUUAGUUCUUUUGUGUUCAUGCUAUCCUUGGCAUAAACUGCUUAUGUUUUCAACCAAGAUUCCUGUACUGGUAGGUUAAAGUUGUGCCAAGCUGUUCUUGUUAUUGUAAAAUGUGACUCCUUCCAUGAUGCUAGUAUGAGUUUUCUACGUACUUGAUGCUAUUAUUAGUUUCUUUCCGCUUUAAUCAGAUGCACAAAAUCUUUGAGUUCUGUAGAUUCACCACA